rnacentral:rRNA from 1 species
GGUUAAGCGACUAAGCGUACACGGUGGAUGCCCUGGCAGUCAGAGGCGAUGAAGGACGUGCUAAUCUGCGAUAAGCGUCGGUAAGGUGAUAUGAACCGUUAUAACCGGCGAUUUCCGAAUGGGGAAACCCAGUGUGUUUCGACACACUAUCAUUAACUGAAUCCAUAGGUUAAUGAGGCGAACCGGGGGAACUGAAACAUCUAAGUACCCCGAGGAAAAGAAAUCAACCGAGAUUCCCCCAGUAGCGGCGAGCGAACGGGGAGCAGCCCAGAGCCUGAAUCAGUGUGUGUGUUAGUGGAAGCGUCUGGAAAGGCGCGCGAUACAGGGUGACAGCCCCGUACACAAAAAUGCACAUACUGUGAGCUCGAUGAGUAGGGCGGGACACGUGGUAUCCUGUCUGAAUAUGGGGGGACCAUCCUCCAAGGCUAAAUACUCCUGACUGACCGAUAGUGAACCAGUACCGUGAGGGAAAGGCGAAAAGAACCCCGGCGAGGGGAGUGAAAAAGAACCUGAAACCGUGUACGUACAAGCAGUGGGAGCACGCUUCGGCGUGUGACUGCGUACCUUUUGUAUAAUGGGUCAGCGACUUAUAUUCUGUAGCAAGGUUAACCGAAUAGGGGAGCCGAAGGGAAACCGAGUCUUAACUGGGCGUUAAGUUGCAGGGUAUAGACCCGAAACCCGGUGAUCUAGCCAUGGGCAGGUUGAAGGUUGGGUAACACUAACUGGAGGACCGAACCGACUAAUGUUGAAAAAUUAGCGGAUGACUUGUGGCUGGGGGUGAAAGGCCAAUCAAACCGGGAGAUAGCUGGUUCUCCCCGAAAGCUAUUUAGGUAGCGCCUCGUGAAUUCAUCUCCGGGGGUAGAGCACUGUUUCGGCAAGGGGGUCAUCACGACUUACCAACCCGAUGCAAACUGCGAAUACCGGAGAAUGUUAUCACGGGAGACACACGGCGGGUGCUAACGUCCGUCGUGAAGAGGGAAACAACCCAGACCGCCAGCUAAGGUCCCAAAGUCAUGGUUAAGUGGGAAACGAUGUGGGAAGGCCCAGACAGCCAGGAUGUUGGCUUAGAAGCAGCCAUCAUUUAAAGAAAGCGUAAUAGCUCACUGGUCGAGUCGGCCUGCGCGGAAGAUGUAACGGGGCUAAACCAUGCACCGAAGCUGCGGCAGCGACGCUUAUGCGUUGUUGGGUAGGGGAGCGUUCUGUAAGCCUGCGAAGGUGUACUGUGAGGUAUGCUGGAGGUAUCAGAAGUGCGAAUGCUGACAUAAGUAACGAUAAAGCGGGUGAAAAGCCCGCUCGCCGGAAGACCAAGGGUUCCUGUCCAACGUUAAUCGGGGCAGGGUGAGUCGACCCCUAAGGCGAGGCCGAAAGGCGUAGUCGAUGGGAAACAGGUUAAUAUUCCUGUACUUGGUGUUACUGCGAAGGGGGGACGGAGAAGGCUAUGUUGGCCGGGCGACGGUUGUCCCGGUUUAAGCGUGUAGGCUGGUUUUCCAGGCAAAUCCGGAAAAUCAAGGCUGAGGCGUGAUGACGAGGCACUACGGUGCUGAAGCAACAAAUGCCCUGCUUCCAGGAAAAGCCUCUAAGCAUCAGGUAACAUCAAAUCGUACCCCAAACCGACACAGGUGGUCAGGUAGAGAAUACCAAGGCGCUUGAGAGAACUCGGGUGAAGGAACUAGGCAAAAUGGUGCCGUAACUUCGGGAGAAGGCACGCUGAUACGUAGGUGAAGUCCCUUGCGGAUGGAGCUGAAAUCAGUCGAAGAUACCAGCUGGCUGCAACUGUUUAUUAAAAACACAGCACUGUGCAAACACGAAAGUGGACGUAUACGGUGUGACGCCUGCCCGGUGCCGGAAGGUUAAUUGAUGGGGUUAGCGGUAACGCGAAGCUCUUGAUCGAAGCCCCGGUAAACGGCGGCCGUAACUAUAACGGUCCUAAGGUAGCGAAAUUCCUUGUCGGGUAAGUUCCGACCUGCACGAAUGGCGUAAUGAUGGCCAGGCUGUCUCCACCCGAGACUCAGUGAAAUUGAACUCGCUGUGAAGAUGCAGUGUACCCGCGGCAAGACGGAAAGACCCCGUGAACCUUUACUAUAGCUUGACACUGAACAUUGAGCCUUGAUGUGUAGGAUAGGUGGGAGGCUUUGAAGUGUGGACGCCAGUCUGCAUGGAGCCGACCUUGAAAUACCACCCUUUAAUGUUUGAUGUUCUAACGUUGGCCCCUAAUCGGGGUUGCGGACAGUGUCUGGUGGGUAGUUUGACUGGGGCGGUCUCCUCCUAAAGAGUAACGGAGGAGCACGAAGGUUGGCUAAUCCUGGUCGGACAUCAGGAGGUUAGUGCAAUGGCAUAAGCCAGCUUGACUGCGAGCGUGACGGCGCGAGCAGGUGCGAAAGCAGGUCAUAGUGAUCCGGUGGUUCUGAAUGGAAGGGCCAUCGCUCAACGGAUAAAAGGUACUCCGGGGAUAACAGGCUGAUACCGCCCAAGAGUUCAUAUCGACGGCGGUGUUUGGCACCUCGAUGUCGGCUCAUCACAUCCUGGGGCUGAAGUAGGUCCCAAGGGUAUGGCUGUUCGCCAUUUAAAGUGGUACGCGAGCUGGGUUUAGAACGUCGUGAGACAGUUCGGUCCCUAUCUGCCGUGGGCGCUGGAGAACUGAGGGGGGCUGCUCCUAGUACGAGAGGACCGGAGUGGACGCAUCACUGGUGUUCGGGUUGUCAUGCCAAUGGCACUGCCCGGUAGCUAAAUGCGGAAGAGAUAAGUGCUGAAAGCAUCUAAGCACGAAACUUGCCCCGAGAUGAGUUCUCCCUGACUCCUUGAGAGUCCUGAAGGAACGUUGAAGACGACGACGUUGAUAGGCCGGGUGUGUAAGCGCAGCGAUGCGUUGAGCUAACCGGUACUAAUGAACCGUGAGGCUUAACCUU